AGGCAGUGAGUUCCUCUGUUGAACAGUCAAGAAGUUCUUCCUAGUGUUCAGGUGGAAUCUCCUUUCUGGAAUGGAACGGCACUCCAUGCAGUCCUGCCAGUGGCCACAUGACCUUGGAAGUGUCUAUGGACAACGCUGACUCUUCCGCUUAGAAAUGGAGAUGAGCCCCAGAGUCAGGCACGACUGGACUGAAUGUCAAGGGGAAAGCUUGACCUUGACUCACCUACCCGUGGGUGGUAUAUGUGCCGUUAUGGAGCUCCAAGAACAAUUCUCCCACCCAGGUGCAGAGCUGGGCCUUCUCCUUCUCCAGAGAAGAGAACAGCCGGUCCGGGGACGACAUCUGCACCCUGCAAGGCAGAAAGACGCCGUUUGGGGGAAAGCGACGAGAAGGACCACAGGAAUCGAGUGGGUUCGCAGGUAACACACAGCCCACUCCGUCCCCCCCCCCCCAUACUUCUGUGACCAAUAAAAAAAAUAGGAUAUUUG